GAAGGAUGUAUCAGGUAUUCCAAAUCAGUUUAAAAAUGCGGGGAAACCGCCUGGAAGAUCAGCCAAUCUGGCCAAUACUUCAGAGUACUGGCGCGCGGCACAUCCCCAAAUGCCCCACCAGGCGAGGCGCAAUAGACCGCGUGCCUCGGUUGCUCCAAAUGGUCUUAACCCGGAUUCCUCCCCCAGAAUCCGG
rnacentral:sRNA from 1 species